GGAUGUGAGGGCGAUCUGACUGCGAUAUCUGUCACCCCAUUGAUCGCCAGGGUUGAUUCGGCUGAUCUGGCUGGCUAGGCGGGUGUCCCCUUCCUCCCUCACCGCUCCAUGUGCGUCCUUCCCAAAGCUGCGUGCUUGGUCGAAGAGGACGACCUUCCCCGACAGAGGAGAGGACCGUUCUUCGGUCAAGGGUAUACGAGUAGCUGCACUCCCCUGCUAGAACCUCCAAACAAACUCUCAAGGUCCAUAUACCACAUGAACUUCCAUAUAUAGAGAAAUGGAUUAUCAAGGUCAGCAGUUUCGAUAUCAUUGAGUCAUAUUCUACAUAAAUUAAAUUUGUUCCAGUA
rnacentral:snRNA from 1 species